rnacentral:rRNA from 1 species
UACGAAGGGGGCUAGCGUUGCUCGGAAUCACUGGGCGUAAAGGGUGCGUAGGCGGGUCUUUAAGUCAGGGGUGAAAUCCUGGAGCUCAACUCCAGAACUGCCUUUGAUACUGGGGAUCUUGAGUUCGGGAGAGGUGAGUGGAACUGCGAGUGUAGAGGUGAAAUUCGUAGAUAUUCGCAAGAACACCAGUGGCGAAGGUGGCUCACUGGCCCGAUACUGACGCUGAGGCACGAAAGCGUGGGGAGCAAACAGG